GUGGUAAUGCCGGAUGCUCCGACUCCUCGCAUGGGGUGUCGGGAAAGAUUUCAUCGGUAUGGGAUGGGGUCGCGUCCUAUCAGGUAGUCGGCGGGGUAACGGCCCACCGAGCCUACGACGGGUAGCCGGCCUGAGAGGGCGACCGGCCACAUUGGGACUGAGAUACGGCCCAGACUCCUACGGGAGGCAGCAGUGGGGAAUAUUGCACAAUGGGCGCAAGCCUGAUGCAGCGACGCCGCGUGCGGGAUGACGGCCUUCGGGUUGUAAACCGCUUUUGAUCGGGAGCAAGCCUUCGGGUGAGUGUACCUUUCGAAUAAGCACCGGCUAACUACGUGCCAGCAGCCGCGGUAAUACGUAGGGUGCAAGCGUUAUCCGGAAUUAUUGGGCGUAAAGGGCUCGUAGGCGGUUCGUCGCGUCCGGUGUGAAAGUCCAUCGCUUAACGGUGGAUCUGCGCCGGGUACGGGCGGGCUGGAGUGCGGUAGGGGAGACUGGAAUUCCCGGUGUAACGGUGGAAUGUGUA
rnacentral:rRNA from 1 species